rnacentral:lncRNA from 1 species
CAAUGAUGAAUUGCAAAACGUUAUUAAUGAAGGGAAAAGGUUCAAGCCAAUAUUCACACUGCAGUCAAUGAAAGAGUAAGGGGGCUUCUGAGGAAGGGUUGAAGAUGACAUGGGAGAGUAGCAGGAACAACCCCCUUCGCUGACUGUUUGCUCCUGAGGCUUUUCCAGUUUUAUGUCACUCAUGUCUUCUCUGCUUCCGUCCUGUGUGCUUUCCAUUCCCGGCAAAGCUGCUGCUACACGUCGAAAGAGCUGCUUUACAUUGUAUCCAGCUUUUGCCCUAGUUUCAAUAAACGUAACAUUCAGCCCUUUGGCUUUCCUCUCUCCCUCCUCAAUUGACACUUGCCUCUUGUCAGCAAGAUCUGUUUUAUUUCCUACUAGCGUGAUGAUAACAUCACUUCCUCCUUCUGUUCUGACAUCAUCAAUCCACUUUGUAGUUUGCUGGAAUGAGUUAACAUUUGUGAUAUCGUAAACUACUACAGCUGCAGCAGAAUCACGGAUGUACCUGGGAAUGAGGCUACGGAGACGUUCCUGACCCGCCGUAUCCCACAGCCGAAGCCCGAUUGUUCCAUCCUCCAAGAACACCAGCUUGAAUUUCCUCAGCGGAUUCCCGAAGUCUCCGCCCGCGGACAUGGUGGAACUAGAGGAGCUGUCGCCGCCUCAGCCCAGAGACCUCCCGG